rnacentral:rRNA from 1 species
GCGGUUACACUUGUUCUUCAACUCAAAGAAAAUAUUAGAAAAAAGCUUAUUAAAUUUGUCUAAUAAUAUUAAUAAUUAAAGAAGCUUCAAAACUUAUUCACUGAAUUGGAUUAGUACCCAAGUAAAAUAAUGGAUAAAGUUAGGUAAAACCUAAAUUAAAUGGCAGUAUUUUUUAUAAAGCAGAGAAACUUGAAGUUUAGAAAAUCCACUUUACUAUUAAUUUCUUAAAGGUUUAAGUAUGGCUGUCCAAAAAUAAAUUUAGGUUUAAAUUUGUAGUCAAGCAACAUUUAACUUAAGAAAAAACUUUGAGUUGCACAAAAAAUAUUACAAAGAUUUAUUACUCAAAAGGAUUUGCAAGUAAAGAUAAUUCUGAAAUAGUUAAGUACA